rnacentral:sRNA from 1 species
UAUAAUGGAAAUUGACAUGCCAGCCCAGAU